rnacentral:lncRNA from 1 species
UUUGAGUACCGGUAAUCAUAUCGAGAAUCGUAUUUCUCAGUAGGUAGGUAUUUUGUAUAGGUAUUCCGAUAUAAAAACUACAAUAGUCGUCGUCGUUGCUCGCUUUUAUACGAUUGGUACGAAAUAACGAAGUAAUCAGAAUAAUCAAAGUAUCAAAGUAACGGUUUGUCUCUCUGUAUAGUAAUCGUUACUUUCAGUAUUCGUAAGUACCGAGUACCGAGUACUUUGUAACGAAUAGUUACUUUUUCAACAUAACUACUACUGACAUUCUCUUUUACUAAAAAGUUUCUUGAACCAAACUUUUAAUCAAUAAUAGGUACUAAAAACACUUUCAGACAUUCAUAAAAUCGCAUCGCCCAAGAAAUGGUUAAUAUUUGAAUCGUUGAUAAAUCACUAUCAGUUACGAAAAAUUAUCGCCUGCAUGUACAGCUAGCUCAAGAAGUAACUACCCA